UACAGAGGGGGCAAGCGUUGUUCGGAAUUACUGGGCGUAAAGGGCGCGUAGGCGGCCUGCUAAGUCGAACGUGAAAUCCCCGGGCUCAACCCGGGAACUGCGUCCGAUACUGGUUGGCUCGAAUCCGGGAGAGGGAUGCGGAAUUCCAGGUGUAGCGGUGAAAUGCGUAGAUAUCUGGAGGAACACCGGUGGCGAAGGCGGCAUCCUGGACCGGCAUUGACGCUGAGGCGCGAAAGCCAGGGGAGCUAACGGG
rnacentral:rRNA from 1 species